GCUGUUUCAAAUUAGACAUGCAGCGCCACUGCGACGGCAGCUGGCGAAAUGUCCCUGUUCCCUCCGCACAGCCGCGCCUAGCCGCAGCAGGUGGACCUGGCCCCUGGCAGCGCAAGCGUGUGUACACGGCGAAAACAGUCGACUUCUAUCUACUGUUGCGUGUGCAAAUGUCAUAACAGCUACUAGAACACGGCCGGAAAACUGCCGAAGGUGCAAUUUUAUCAUUUUCGUUGGAAAUCGUACGAGGCUGAUCGGCGACAACGUUAGAUCGCUGCCGUUCGGCGCGCCCGUCCGAAUGGAGAUUUGUGGCAACCAGUGCAACGCAAGACAGUCAUCUGCAGUGCUCACUUUGUCGGUAACAAAGCGAGCACAAUUGCCGGCCAUCCCGCCAAUGUUCCAACUGUGUUUCCGCCGUGUUACAGAAGAAGUGAUGCAGUACUACCGGCAUCAAAGCUCGACAGGUAUAAUAGGUGAGUGUUAUUAGCAGAAAGGUUGCCCGUAAAGUGGUUAGGGUCGGCUGUGAGAAAAAAUUGCUGCGAUACUACAGCUCUUUACGACUUUGAAGAGCGGGUGAACCAAUAGUUCAAAGAAAUUGCUGCGCCUCCAUGAAAACCGAAAACGUUUUGCAGUAUUCAUUAAGCGUGCUUACAGCUGUUUUUUUAUAAGAUUAAGCGACGUCGCGCAGUGCUUCAAGCGCCGACAUCCAAGAGCGCGAUCACGGCGACUGCGGAUCCCUUUGAGGACUCCUCGACUGACCUCGCCGACGAAAUCAUUGCAUUACCGGAAGAAACUGGCACAUCUGCAUCAGUGGUGACGCAGACAGAUGCAGAUUUUAACGGACGUGUUUACACUGUGUUCCUCUCUGUGACAGCAGAAGGCGCGGCGUCUACUCAAGUUUGCCAUACCAACAUUGUUGAGAGAGGUGUACAAGCAAGUGCCUCUGUGAGAUCGACAGCUAUUGGACCGAUCGAACGCAGCUGCGCAUUUCUUGG
rnacentral:lncRNA from 1 species